rnacentral:rRNA from 1 species
UACGGGGGGGGGCAAGCGUUUGUUCGGAAUUACUGGGCGUAAAGGGCUCGUAGGCGGCCAACUAAGUCGGACGUGAAAUCCCCAGGCUCAACCUGGGAACUGCGUCUGAUACUGGAUGGCUUGAAUCCGGGAGAGGGAUGCAGAAUUCCAGGUGUAGCGGUGAAAUGCGUAGAUAUCUGGAGGAAUACCGGUGGCGAAGGCGGCAUCCUGGACCGGCAUUGACGCUGAGGCGCGAAAGCUAGGGGAGCAAACGGGG